UAACUCCAGUCCUCUACAGCAGUGCUUCUGCAGCUUUCAGGUGCAUCUCUCCUCCAACACACCAGGAUCAAACAAACAGCCUUUUACCAGACCUCUGCAGAGCUGAAUGACUGAUGAGGGAAUUCAGCCGUUCGAUUCAGGUCUGAUGGAGAAGAGAUGUGACUAAAAGCUGCAACAUAGCAGCUCUGGAGGAGUGGAGUUGGAAAGCCCUGAUCUAUAGCAGGACAAUGCUGCUGGAGACCAACUGGAUCUAGAAUAGAACAGUGACACAGCUUGUUAAGGUCAUCAGUUGAACUGUUCUCUGGGAUGAUGGUGAGAAGGUAAAGACGAUGCUUGGAGGGACUAGUUGAUUUCAGAGCAGUUUGAGGCAGAGGACAGGACUGAUGGAAGGAUGUGGGUUGUGAGUGACUGUGAUUAUUAGAACCCGCUUUCAGCUGUGAGUUGAUCUAGUUCUAGAUGUUCCUCUGGUCAGUUGGUGAAAGAACCCUCUGCAGACAUACUCUCCAUAUGAUCUAGGCCAGUUCUGACCACAGUGGAUCUCUUCUGUGUUUUCUGAAUCCCAUGUCGGACCGAGCCGCUACAAGCUUUUGGCCGUCAGAAGAUGCUGAUGAGAUCUACGGCGACCAAACCAGAGGAGCAGUAAACAGUGAGAGCAUGUUCAACUCUGUGGACGUCCAAAAGCAGAACUCCUGUGAGGAACCGGGACCUCCAGGAUGCUGAGGAGCCUCCCAGUCCCCACCUGAGGACGACACAGAGGAAAACACCUGGAGGAAAGAAGGUUGAAUAUGGAAGCAGCGUUCUAGCAGUCGGAUCUCCGUGGAACAGACUCCAUCCACACGUGUUUGAAGGAGCUGAAGCAGAGGAUGGAGAACACAGACCACCAAGGAGGAGAAACAUGGCUCCUCUGCUCGUCUCUCCAACAUUCUGGAGUCCUGGAAUGAAAAACGUCGACGACCCCGCAGCUAAACCAUCAGUCUGCUCCACCCAGAAAGAAGAGAUGGUCAGCUGCUCCUUGGACCGGCUCCUCUGUGUCUGUUGGACGUCUGCUGUCCUGUUAAAGACUCGCUCGGCUGCAGUAGAUGGGCGCUGACAUGGAGCCGGGUUCUGCUGGAGGAUCCUUCCUGCUUAAAGCUAGUUUUCCUCUCUACUGUCACCACUUCAUUGCUCAGGAGGAGGGACUGAUGGAAGAUUGGCUGAGCUUCCCUGGAUUGAAUAUGUUUCUUUAAACGCCAUAAUACACUGAAUUUAUUUUCAUUAUGCUGUAAAUAGGAUCUAACUUGACUUUUAUUAUUGAAUUUCAUUCUGUGUUUGUGUUGAAUUCUGUUACAUGUUUUUGUUUUAAAGCUCUCAUGUAAAUUGCCUUGAUAUCAUAUUAGCUGUGACUUGUUUUUAUUUUUAAAAUUGAAUUAUAUCAAAUUCUGCCUACUGGGUCUGGUUCUGUUAAAGGAUUCCUGUCAUUCUAUCUUCAUCUGUUAUUUAUUAUUACUAUAAUAAAGGUUUGAUUUUUGUUAAUUUUUCUUGAAAUAAGUGUUUGUAAA